GUGCUCGCUUCCACAGCACAUCUGCUAAAACCGGAACACACACAGAGAAGAGGAACUUGGCCCCUGCGUAAGCACGACAUGGAAAUUCAUGUGACAUUCCAUAUGUUU
ensembl:snRNA U6 U6 spliceosomal RNA